CGGCAGCAGCGACAUUCCAGAUUUCAUGGCUCGUUUUUGGGUCUGCGAUGAAGAGAGAGAACAACGCCGGUGAACAGCCAAGGAAGAAGGCGGCGCUGCUAUCUUGGAGAAAAAAGAGAGACGAGAUCGAGAGGGAGGAGAACGCCGGGCUUAGGCGCGGCGGCAGUCGACGCCGGCCGGAGACGGAGGCGGCGUUUCGCCGAAGAAGAAGGGAGAGGCGCCGCUUGUUUCAGUGUGU
rnacentral:lncRNA from 1 species